CCUACGGGGGGCAGCAGUGGGGAAUAUUGGACAAUGGGGGCAACCCUGAUCCGGCCAUGCCGCGUGUGUGAAGAAGGCCCUCGGGUUGUAAAGCACUUUCAGUGAGGAAGAACGCCUGGUGGUUAAUACCCAUCAGGAAAGACAUCACUCACAGAAGAAGCACCGGCUAACUCCGUGCCAGCAGCCGCGGUAAUACGGAGGGUGCGAGCGUUAAUCGGAAUUACUGGGCGUAAAGCGCGCGUAGGUGGCUUGAUAAGCCGGUUGUGAAAGCCCCGGGCUCAACCUGGGAACGGCAUCCGGAACUGUCAAGCUAGAGUGCAGGAGAGGAAGGUAGAAUUCCCGGUGUAGCGGUGAAAUGCGUAGAGAUCGGGAGGAAUACCAGUGGCGAAGGCGGCCUUCUGGACUGACACUGACACUGAGGUGCGAAAGCGUGGGUAGCAAACAGGAUUAGAUACCCUAGUAGUC
rnacentral:rRNA from 1 species